rnacentral:sRNA from 1 species
GCUGGGUGCGGUGGCCCAUGCCUGUAAUCCCAGUGGCUUGGGAGGCUGAGACAGGAGGAUCAAGAGUUCAAAGCCAGCCUUAGCACAAGUGAGGUGCUAAGCAAUUCAGUGAGAUCCUGUCUCUA